rnacentral:rRNA from 1 species
ACACUCCUGCGGGAGGCAGCAGUGGGGAAUUUUGGACAAUGGGCGAAAGCCUGAUCCAGCAAUGCCGCGUGUGUGAAGAAGGCCUUCGGGUUGUAAAGCACUUUUGUCCGGAAAGAAAUCCUUGGCUCUAAUACAGUCGGGGGAUGACGGUACCGGAAGAAUAAGCACCGGCUAACUACGUGCCAGCAGCCGCGGUAAUACGUAGGGUGCGAGCGUUAAUCGGAAUUACUGGGCGUAAAGCGUGCGCAGGCGGUUUGCUAAGACCGAUGUGAAAUCCCCGGGCUCAACCUGGGAACUGCAUUGGUAACUGGCAGGCUAGAGUAUGGCAGAGGGGGGUAGAAUUCCACGUGUAGCAGUGAAAUGCGUAGAGAUGUGGAGGAAUACCGAUGGCGAAGGCAGCCCCCUGGGCCAAUACUGACGCUCAUGCACGAAAGCGUGGGGAGCAAACAGGAUUAGAUACCCCUGUAGUCCCAU